GCUCCAGUGGCGGACGGGUGAGUAACGCGUGAGAAUCUACCUUCAGGAUGGGGACAACCGUUGGAAACGACGGCUAAUUCCCAAUGUGCCGAGAGGUGAAAGGUUUCGACCGCCUGAAGAGGAGCUCGCGUCCGAUUAGUUUGUUGGUGGGGUAAGAGCUCACCAAGGCAGCGAUCGGUAGCUGGUCUGAGAGGAUGAGCAGCCACACUGGGACUGAGACACGGCCCAGACUCCUACGGGAGGCAGCAGUGGGGAAUUUUCCGCAAUGGGCGAAAGCCUGACGGAGCAACGCCGCGUGUGGGAAGAAGGCUCUUGGGCUGUCAACCACUUUUCUCAGGGAAGAAGUUCUGACGGUACCUGAGGAAUCAGCCUCGGCUAACUCCGUGCCAGCAGCCGCGGUAAUACGGAGGAGGCAAGCGUUAUCCGGAAUUAUUGGGCGUAAAGCGUCCGCAGGGGGCUCAUCAAGUCUGCUGUUAAAGGUCGGAGCUUAACUCCGAUACAGCAGUGGAAACUGAUGGGCUAGAGGGCGACAGGGGUAGAGGGAAUUCCCAGUGUAGCGGUGAAAUGCGUAGAGAUUGGGAAGAACACCGGUGGCGAAAGCGCUCUACUGGGUCGCACCUGACCCUCAGGGACGAAAGCUAAGGGAGCGAAAGGGAUUAGAUACCCCUGUAGUCUUAGCUGUAAACGAUGGAUACUAGGCGUGGUUUGUAUCGACCC
rnacentral:rRNA from 1 species